GGCAGUGGCAGCUAAGUGGUUAAGGUGUUGGACUACUGAUUGGAAGGUCAUGAAUUCAAAUCUCAGCACUGCCA